AGAGUGCGCGUGUGUGUAUAUACGAUCGAUCAGGGACAGAGGGUGAGGUGAAACCCUAGUUUCACCAAAAUCCAUCAAAUUCAAGGGGGAUUGAAGGGCUAAACUAAUGCAUGAACCAAGAUUUUCGAUCACUUUAGCGUUUCUACCAUCAUGAACGUGUCAAGGAGAGGUCAAGCAUAGGAGGAUAACGUGUCAAGAUAAGGCAAGGUGACAAAUACACUUAUUGGAGUACUCGAGGUAUGGGAUCGUUGGCUUCAUGAAGAAAUGGAGCUGGAUUUGGAUAAGAGUAUUUAAGAAAGCGCUUGGACAAUUCCACGACUACUUUAUAGAAUGCUCUACGAAAUUCUAUUAUAUAGUUUAAUGUUGUAUGGUAUGUUAAUGACUAAUGGUUUGGUUGUACGUGGUGUCCACAGGUAUCGCUUGGGUUUUCUUUACAUUUAUUGAAGUGAAGCGGACUUAGUUCGAGUUGAGAGCAAGGAUUGUACGGGGUAGAAUGGUCACAUAGUGUAACUCAUAUAGGUUUUGAAGUAUUAAUGUUAUAAAACGUUAUAAAUCCGUUUUAAUGAAUAUAUGGCAUUUCGCAUUUGAACC